CAAUGCACACUUAGCAUACGAUAUUCACCCAUAACAUUUACCACUAAGAUGCGUAACAUUUUGCCAAAUAGGCAUAACGGUUCAUACUGUAUGCACCUUAACCUUUGAGAGGCAUAACAUUUAUCAUUUAGAUGCAUAACAUUUAUCAUUUAGAAGCAUAACAUUUAUCAUUUAGAGGCAUAACAUUUGUCCAAAAUAGUUGUAACAUAUUUAGUUAUACGGGGUGUGUAUUGGAGCUUUUCCCUAUACUGAUUUUUAAAAGGACUGAAAUAGUCAUGUUGAUGCGCUCAAGUCAUUUUUGGUACAAUCUCACAUAUAGGCCAUUGAAUUAAUCUCCUCUCAUUUUUUGAUGCAGAUCUAUUGGCCUGAAUGAUAUGGCAGAUUUGAGAAAGCCAAUAUUGCUGCCAAAUUUGGCACCAAAAGAUGGCUUUGCCAUAUUUUAAUAUCAAUUUGACUUAUGGGUAGAGCAUCAUAUUGCCAAAAAAAAAUUGGCUAAAAUUUGAUUUCAGCAGCCUAAAUGGGUGGAUUCAUAUCCUAAUAAUUCUUGCUUUUCUUCAAGAAUUCAGUAUUGUCAAAGGAAGUCGAAUCUUACACUUGUAUCAGCAGCCAAUUGAUCAUCGGCGCAGGCACUCAGAGAGAUGGCUAGUCCACCAUUUGUACUUUUGCUAACACCUGAUGGAGAUCGAGAAUGGUUCCGCUAUGACAGGCAUCAACAAUAGCAUGAAGCUUUGCACCUUUUUUCAGUGGCUUGACAAUGGUGGUAUUGAUUUCAUUAUCAAAUAUCAUGCCAGCUGUCAUAAAAUCAGAAGGACAGAUAGUUUCAUCGUACCCAUCAAUCUCGUCUUGACUAAAAUCAGGUUGUCGUAGUCCAUGCCCCGAAAAGUAAAAGACCAAGGAGUCCCCUGACUUGCAGUCCUCCACAAGCCAGCUCAAGGCCUUUUGUAUGUUCUUCUUUGUUGGGGUUAGAUUUGGGUCACUCUGCUCUUCUGCAAUUUGGUUUUACAUUGUUACAACUCAAAACAAGCAGUAUGCAUUUUAUAGGACUUGUUUAGUGGAACUGAAAGGUCCUUUGAAUCAGAAUCGCGGUUAGCGUAUGAGAAUAAUUGGAAUUUGGAGGUAAGCUUCCUUUCAUGGGCUACUGUUCAGAAGUUAUAAUAAGCUGAAACAACUAUUUGGAACAUCUUUAACCUGAUCUCAGUCAUACUUCUUAAGGAAAACACCUAUAUUUAGCUGCUUAUACAUAUUACUAAACCAAAUACAAAUUAAACUACCGUUGUAGAGAUUCCAAGAGAAAGUUGUAUGUAUUUUCUUGCGAUUAUGCAGUUUAGGCAUGAAGGAGUGGCUAAUGAAGCAUGGGGAUCAUAUUGGAAUUGGGACCCAAAGGAAAGUUGGGCAUUUAUUACUUGGACCGUAUUCGCGAUUUAUUUACAUACUCGAACAAAUACGAAAGGGCUCCCUGGAUAUUCUGCAAUUGUGGCUUAUCAAACUUACUUCGUAAGAUGUUCUAGUAACUUCAUGCAUUAUUCUUCCAGCAUAAGUUGUAUGUAUUUUUCAUCGGGAUCAAUGCUAUGGUGACCACAUUUGAUGACCAUGUUUUGAAUACCACCUGAAUUGUCAUUCCUGCAUUGGUAAGAUGCAAGACAGGUGGGGUCCGUUCCACCAAUUAAUGCAUUAAGGACAACUCACACGGUAUCCAAACUGUGGUCACAUAGGAUUAUUGUUACUUCAUAAUCCGGCUUUACUAUAGUAGAAUCCGCAGGAGCAUAUGAAGCACUUAUGGAAGAUUUGUAUUCGAAGUUAUUCUCAUUUACUUUUUUCCGAUGAGGAAUACCUGCCAAAAUGAUUUAACCAUUUAUGAAGCAGCAACAUUUUUUUCUUGGAAGAGUCUGUAUUGAGGUUUAGCUGAUUUAGCAUGAUUGGAAGUGACUGCCAAAAAAGUGUUGUGUAUAUGAAGGUAAUAGGAGUGAAAAUGCAACUAUACCUGUAAGCACAAGAAUAGCGUUUUCUGGAAAACAAAAUUUAUCAACCAGAAGAGACUUCAUUCUGUUGACAUCAUUAACCGUUCCCUUGAGUUUGUGCUUCUUCUUUUGGUAACUGACUCCACAAAGAAAAGCCUUCUUGGG